AAUUCCUCUGCUGCCGAAGCCCUAGCCUUUGCACAGUGCCACUGCCGCGGCAUCUUCUGCCGUAGUUUCCGGCCGAUUUCCCCACUCACUGGAGUAGGCUACGGUUUCCAAUCAGUGACACUCUUCACCAGAGAGUAACCUGCCAAUGUGGUUAGGAGUAUUUGAGUGGAGAUUUUGACCCCCACCUUGCUGCAAUCACUGGAUCCGGCAGUAACUUUAGCCACAAACCUUGAUCCAGCAGUAUUAGGCUUUGUUGGCAGCGACCCUUUGAUUUACAGCAGCAAUUAAUCUUUGCUAGCAGUAGAGUUUUGUUUUCCGGCAGCAGCUUGGUCUAGCAGCGGUUGAUUUGAGGACUUUGACGCGAGA